rnacentral:rRNA from 1 species
UACGUAGGGCGCAAGCGUUAUCCGGAAUUAUUGGGCGUAAAGAGCUCGUAGGCGGUUUGUCGCGUCUGCUGUGAAAGACCGGGGCUCAACUCCGGUUCUGCAGUGGGUACGGGCAGACUAGAGUGCAGUAGGGGAGACUGGAAUUCCUGGUGUAGCGGUGAAAUGCGCAGAUAUCAGGAGGAACACCGAUGGCGAAGGCAGGUCUCUGGGCUGUAACUGACGCUGAGGAGCGAAAGCUAGGGGAGCAAACGGG